UAGCGACAGGCUUAACACAUGCAAGCGAGGGCAGCAUAGAAGUAGCAAUACUCGGUGGCGACCGGCGCACGGGUGAGUAACGCGUAUGCAACCUACCUAUCAGAGGGGAAUAACCCGGCGAAAGUCGGACUAAUACCGCAUAAAACAGGGGCACCGCAUGGUGAUAUUUGUUAAAGAAAUUCGCUGAUAGAUGGGCAUGCGUUCCAUUAGGUAGUUGGUGAGGUAACGGCUCACCAAGCCGACGAUGGAUAGGGGAACUGAGAGGUUGGUCCCCCACACUGGUACUGAGACACGGACCAGACUCCUACGGGAGGCAGCAGUGAGGAAUAUUGGUCAAUGGGCGGGAGCCUGAACCAGCCAAGUCGCGUGAAGGGAAAAGAAGGAUCUAUGGUUCGUAAACUUCUUUUGCAGGGGAAUAAAGUGCAGGACGUGUCCUGUUUUGUAUGUACCCUGAGAAUAAGGAUCGGCUAACUCCGUGCCAGCAGCAGC
rnacentral:rRNA from 1 species